UACGUAGGGGGCAAGCGUUGUCCGGAAUCAUUGGGCGUAAAGCGCGCGUAGGCGGCCCGAUAAGUCCGCUGUGAAAGUCCAGGGCUCAACCCUGGAAUGCCGGUGGAUACUGUCAGGCUCGAAUCCGGAAGAGGUGAGUGGAAUUCCUGGUGUAGCGGUGAAAUGCGCAGAUAUCAGGAGGAACACCAAUAGCGAAGGCAGCUCGCUGGGACGUUAUUGACACUGAGGCGCGAAAGCGUGGGGAGCGAACAGG
rnacentral:rRNA from 1 species